UGGCAAACUAAAUAACUUCUAUUUAUGUUAGCAAUAAAUCAAUGAAUGACUAUACUACCCACUUCCAUUCAGUCCUCUAUACUUGCAAAAUGAAAGACAAAACUAUGUAAAUACAUGUAAAACAUAUCUUUACCAAAAAUCGUAGCUACACGAUCAUCUGACUUAACAACUUUGCAAAAACAAUUCACCACAGAAAUAUUUUUUUUAAACAAGUAGUAAGUAAUUGCCAGCAAUAACUUUUAACGUGAAUUAUUUUUUUAAAAGUAAAACUAUCUGAAAAAAAAUUUACAUCAUGAGCUUACAAUAUCAAAAGUUAAAUAAAGAAAUAAGAAAAUAUUCGAAGAUUAAAAAGACGCCAGUUCAACGAAAAGAGAAGAGGCCUUUUAUUUCAACCUUCUACUAUAUCGGUUGAUUGAAAAUUGACCAGAGAAUUGAAUGUAUCUAACAGAUCAGAGUGUUUCAACCUUUGUCCAACAACGGACUUUAUACUGAUAAAUUUCACUUCAUGGUUUUAUUCAACCAAGUUCUUAUACAAAAAGCACCUCUACAAUUAAAUCAGAAAUCACA